rnacentral:rRNA from 1 species
GUAGGUGGCAAGCGUUGUCCGGAAUUAUUGGGCGUAAAGCGCGCGCAGGCUGUUCUUUAAGGUCUGAUGUGAAAGCCCACGGGCUCAACCGUGGAGGGUCAUUGGAAACUGGAGAACUUGAGUACAGAAGAGGAAAGCGGAAUUCCACGUGUAGCGGUGAAAUGCGUAGAGAUGUGGAGGAGCACCAGUGGCGAAGGCGGCUUUCUGGUCUGUAACUGACGCUGAGGCGCGAAAGCGUGGGGAGCAAACAGGAUUAGAUACCCUGGUAGUCCACGCCGUAAACGAUGAGUGCUAAGUGUUAGGGGGUUUCCGCCCCUUAGUGCUGCAGCUAACGCAUUAAGCACUCCGCCUGGGGAGUACGGCCGCAAGGCUG